rnacentral:misc_RNA from 1 species
UGCAGGUUUGCUAUCAGAUUUUUUAUAUAGCUUAGCAAUCUUGAGAUCUCAUUGUGAAACAAGCAUUCCACAGAGCUGUGUUUAAUAUUUACAUGAUAUAGAACACCACACCAAUAUGAAGCUGGAAUGGGAAAUUAUAAUGGUUAGUUAAUGAGCCUAAGUCCUGGCAGCCUGAAGCAUUUCAACAAUAAGUGCCUUCACAUCCUUUCUGUCUACAGCACGUCUAGGGAAUGGAACUCGAAGCUUCAAAUCAGUGUCCUUGUAGCAAGCCUUGACAUUAAAACCAAGACUGUCUAUAUCCAACAUGUACGCAAAGUCAACCGGAACUGAUGUUGCGUGCUGCACAAUCAGCUUGGUGUCCUCCAUAUGAUCUUUAUUCAUAUGUGACGUGAUUGGCCUUGAAAAUUGGUAUAUUGGAUCUACUUUAGCUGUUCGAAACUCCUCUUUGCUAAAUUCUCCAGAUCCCAAUAUGGCAGUUGCAACGCCCACUACAUAACGUACAAUUCUGGGUUCAAUGCGCAUGAAGUGGAAGUCACCAAAGUCAACCCAAAAUGCCGUAGGAUGCCUAGCCAAAUAUGUGGCUCGAAUACCUUCUUUCUCUAUUUCUGGUACAGGAACAGCAUCACCAUGCACUGUAAUUACUAAGUCCGUCCUAUCUUCAGGAUCUCUUGCAACAAGCAAUGAGCACCUAGAAGUAGCUAGGAGAUCCUUGGUGUGAACAGCCAAGUUGCUAACGGCUAAUAUUGGAGAUCCAUACGUAUCGCAUGCAAAAUCUACCAUGGAAGCUGAAGGAUAGCCCUCAUACUUCUGAGAGAAAGUAGAAAGCACGCCACGGAGGCUAUAAUGAAGAAGUGUUCUAACAUCUUCAAUAGGAGAUAGCCUAGCAGCCUUCUCCUGAUGAGCUUGAAUCAACUGAAAGAUAUCAACCUCAUCACCAGAUGAUACAUUCUGAGAAGCCAUGGCGAGAAGAGGAGAAGUUGAGGUUAGUGAGGAAAAGGAUUUAGAUGGAGAAGGAGAAAGAAGGUAGUUAUGAGUAGCAUUGUUGUUGAGAUUAGAGUAAAGAAAGCUUGAAAAUGGGGAAAAGGUGCGUAGAGGUGAAGGAGCUAAUACAAGAGUCUUCAUCUUUGACACUCAAAAACUCCCUCGACCCUCCCCAAUUCUAUCCGUCUG